rnacentral:rRNA from 1 species
AGAGUUUGAUCCUGGCUCAGAUUGAACGCUGGCGGCAUGCUUUACACAUGCAAGUCGAACGGUAACAGGCCGCAAGGUGCUGACGAGUGGCGAACGGGUGAGUAAUGCAUCGGAACGUGCCCAGUCGUGGGGGAUAACGCAGCGAAAGCUGCGCUAAUACCGCAUACGAUCUAUGGAUGAAAGCGGGGGACCGUAAGGCCUCGCGCGAUUGGAGCGGCCGAUGUCAGAUUAGGUAGUUGGUGGGGUAAAGGCUCACCAAGCCGACGAUCUGUAGCUGGUCUGAGAGGACGACCAGCCACACUGGGACUGAGACACGGCCCAGACCCCUACGGGAGGCAGCAGUGGGGAAUUUUGGACAAUGGGGGCAACCCUGAUCCAGCAAUGCCGCGUGCAGGAAGAAGGCCUUCGGGUUGUAAACUGCUUUUGUACGGAACGAAACGGCUCUGGUUAAUACCCGGGGCUAAUGACGGUACCGUAAGAAUAAGCACCGGCUAACUACGUGCCAGCAGCCGCGGUAAUACGUAGGGUGCAAGCGUUAAUCGGAAUUACUGGGCGUAAAGCGUGCGCAGGCGGUGCUGUAAGACAGGCGUGAAAUCCCCGGGCUUAACCUGGGAAUGGCGCUUGUGACUGCAGUGCUGGAGUGCGGCAGAGGGGGAUGGAAUUCCGCGUGUAGCAGUGAAAUGCGUAGAUAUGCGGAGGAACACCGAUGGCGAAGGCAAUCCCCUGGGCCUGCACUGACGCUCAUGCACGAAAGCGUGGGGAGCAAACAGGGUUAGAUACCCUGGUAGUCCNNNCCCUAAACGAUGUCAACUGGUUUGUUGGGUCUCUUCUGACNNNNNAACGAAGCCAACGCGUGAAGUUGACCGCCUGGGGAGUACGGCCGCA